UGUGGACCUGUCGGAGCAUGGGCCAAAUGCUGCUGCCGAGAGCCCUCCCGGGACUGGGACGCUGUUUGCCUCAUCUCCACGUGUAGGAGCUGUUUUCCUUCAUGCUGUCUGUUUGGCCUUUGAAAUACACUAAGCAGCUAUAACCGCAUUUAUCAUCCAGUGGGGGUUGGAUCAAUCUGAAAAGAAGAUGCAAGCAAAGUAACUGAUUAAGAAAUCGCAAAUUUCCUUCACCAUGCUUACACUGGACUUUUGGCGCUGUAAAGACACAUUUCCGUCAGUUCAGCUUUUGAAAUACGAAGAACCUCAAGUGGAGUAGAUGAGAAGUAGCUCAAACCUUUUUAGGAGUCCUGUUUGUUGAGAUGUGGACUGCUAGAGUUAUGCUGAACUCUGUGGGACAGCUGAUAUCGGAGAUCAUCAGUCCAACACUCUCUAUUGAACUGUCCUGUCUGGAUGAGAAGUGGUCAAGGGGAAGGCUGGCAAGUGAGUGCUUGGCCGUGCAGAACUUGUUGCUGACUCCGUAACGUGAUGAGCUGGUGCUCAUCUCAGUGGUUUGCGCUUCCCUGAAUGAGGAGGGAAUAAAGCAAUGAAGAAGAAGAAAUUGCUUUGGAGCUUUCUUAUGAGAGAUGAAAUUGAUAGCAGCUAAAACGUGAAAAGAGUCUAAUCAGAAUGGAAUGAUGUAUCAGGGGAAAAUACAACAACAAAGCAAAUACACGUGAAGAAAAGAAAUGAAAGUUACAUUUUUGAUGGCUAAAGAAAAGUGAGAAGAUGAUACUUAGGCAAUCUUUCUAUGAAUUUUUCAUCACAUCCUGAGAAAGAAAGCAGUGCCCCAGCUGUUUGGGUUUGAAAUUUAGAAUCAUGAUAGCUGUGAUGCCAGGGAUGAUACAUAGAUUGAAUGGAGGCUCCGUGCUUGGUUAAUACUCCAUUUUUACCAUGCUUUAAUCCUAUUCUCUUGACUGUUACAAAUAAAGAAAUGAAACCAAAAUUACAUAAGCCUGGCCAUCAUAAUCUCAGAGGUUCAGAAAAGUAUUUUCCUGUGCAUCUCCUUCUCAGAGAGAAAGAACUGCGCUCAAUAUGGACACCCUAUUUUUUACCAUCAGCUGCAGGUCCUGUGCAGCUCUUUCCCAAUCCCCAGGUAAAUUUCUUUUGGCUCCUAGUAAAUACUGACCUCAGGACCCUUAUUUCUUCAGUUCUGAACUGACAACUUCAGAUAUGAGACCUUGUGAAAAGGGAAAGAUGGUUAUUCAGCCUAUUUUAUCUAUCUUCUGCUGCCACUCAUUCUCCUCAUGAUUCUGAAGGCAACCCCAUUGCUAGCAAAAAUAUAUCAAGCAAGAAUGAAACUGCACAGGCCUUUUUCUUUGCAGUAUAUAAACCUAUAUAUUACACUGGUGUUACACAAGUGUCUGCAUGUGUCAGGAGAAGGCAGCAGAUUGUGGUGUGUACAAAAAUAGGUGAAAAGCUUUCCCAGCACAGGGGCAGUGCAGAGGCUUUUACACAGCUCAGAAAACAAGCUUCAAGCUUCUUUUUGGACCUUAUUCAUGGAGCAUUCACCAAAGCCAAAACAAGUGUCUCAGA